rnacentral:rRNA from 1 species
GAUGAACGCUGGCGGCGUGCCUAAUACAUGCAAGUCGAGCGAACGGACUAGUAUCUUUCUUCUCUGAUGUUAUCGUUUUACGGGUGAGUAACACGUGGAUAACCUACCUAUAAGACUGGGAUAACUUCGGGAAACCGGAGCUAAUACCGGAUAAUAUUUUGACCCGCAUGGUUCAAAAGUGAAAGACUGUCUUGCUGUCACUUAUAGAUGUAUCCGCGCUGCAUUAGCUAGUUUGUAAGGUAACGGCUUACCAAGGCAACGAUGCAUAGCCGACCUGAGAGGGUGAUCGGACACACGGGAACUGAGACACGGUCCAGACUCCUACGGGAGGAAGCAGUAGGGAAUCUUACGCAAUGGGCGAAAGCCUGACGGAGCAAAGCCGCGUGAGUGAUGAAGGUCUGCGGAUCGUAAAACGCUGUUAUUAGGGAAGAACAUAUGUGUAAGUAACAGUGCACAUCUUGACGGUACCUAAUCAGAAAGCCACGGCUAAAUACGUG